GGAGCUCUAGCUCACCUCUCUGGUGUUGUUCUUAUAUUCAUCUGAUUAAUCUAGUUCUUGUUAGUUCUUCUUGAACUUCUUGUUAGAUCUCAAGCUUGUAUUUCUGUGUCCGUGACAGUUUGUCGAGACUGAACUCACCUUAGAUAUCAGAGCUAGUUUCUUCCUCGUUAGAGUGUGGAUUAUCCCUUUGCUUGAAGAUGUACUAGCAUUUUAGAGGUUGCGGAUUACCCUCCUCUAAACUGAUACUUCUUUUGUUACAAUAUUGGAG
rnacentral:lncRNA from 1 species